rnacentral:rRNA from 1 species
UACGUAGGGUGCAAGCGUUAAUCGGAAUUACUGGGCGUAAAGCGUGCGCAGGCGGUUUUGUAAGUCAGAUGUGAAAUCCCCGGGCUUAACCUGGGAACUGCGUUUGAAACUACAAGGCUAGAGUGUGGCAGAGGGGGGUGGAAUUCCACGUGUAGCAGUGAAAUGCGUAGAUAUCUGGAGGAACACCGGUGGCGAAGGCGGCAUCCUGGACCAUGACUGACGCUGAUGAGCGAAAGCCAGGGGAGCAAACGGG